GACGAACGCUGGCGGCGUGCUUAACACAUGCAAGUCGAACGGAGUGCUCAUGACGGAGGAUUCGUCCAACGGAUUGAGUUACUUAGUGGCGGACGGGUGAGUAACGCAUGAGGAACCUGCCUCGGAGUGGGGAAUAACAGACCGAAAGGCCUGCUAAUACCGCAUGAUACAGUUGGGUCGCAUGACUCUGACUGUCAAAGAUUUAUCGCUCUGAGAUGGACCCGCGUCUGAUUAGCCAGUUGGCGGGGUAACGGCCCACCAAAGCGACGAUCAGUAGCCGGACUGAGAGGUUGAACGGCCACAUUGGGACUGAGACACGGCCCAG
rnacentral:rRNA from 1 species